UACGUAGGGGGCAAGCGUUGUCCGGAAUCAUUGGGCGUAAAGAGCGUGUAGGCGGCUCGGUAAGUCCGCUGUGAAAGUCCAGGGCUCAACCCUGGAAUGCCGGUGGAAACUGUCGAGCUAGAGUCCGGAAGAGGCGAGUGGAAUCCUGGUGUAGCGGUGAAAUGCGCAGAUAUCAGGAGGAACACCAAUGGCGAAGGCAGCUCGCUGGGACGGUACUGACGCUGAGGCACGAAAGCGUGGGGAGCAAACAGG
rnacentral:rRNA from 1 species